rnacentral:lncRNA from 1 species
CAGUAGAAAGAAAAGAAAAAAGGAAAAAGUAAAAAAAGAAAGAAAUAGUAGAUACAAAAAGGAUAAAAUAAAACAAAAUAGCAUCCCAAUCUCUUUGUAACAUGGAUAAUGAAACCUUGUUUCAGACCAUAGGCCUUAACCCAAAGAGAAGCAAGAACCCAUAACACAUAGCAUUAACUAAUUGACACUGUUGCCAAAUAAUUUUCUCAAUUUGCUCCAACAACAGGACCCAUAACCCUGUAAAAAUAGUUCAUCUCCAUAAUAAUACAUUACCUUGCCCAAGCCGCCUAAAUUUCUCAAGGUUAGCACAUCUAAGAAAACUAAGAAAGAAAACAAUCUUGUCAAAACUCUCCAAGCCAUCCUCUACGGACCAAAAGCAUUUUGUUUUCUGUGGACCAAAAGGAAAUUAUUAAUAUUAAUUUUGUUUAGGAUCAUAAUGUAGUCCAAAAC